rnacentral:tRNA from 1 species
GCGUCCUUAGCUCAGCUGGAUAGAGCAACGGCCUUCUAAGCCGUGGGUCGCAGGUUCGAAUCCUGCAGGACGCGCCA